GGUUAAGCGACUAAGCGUACACGGUGGAUGCCCUGGCAGUCAGAGGCGAUGAAGGACGUGCUAAUCUGCGAAAAGCGUCGGUAAGGUGAUAUGAACCGUUAUAACCGGCGAUGUCCGAAUGGGGAAACCCAGUGUGAUUCGUCACACUAUCGUUAACUGAAUACAUAGGUUAACGAGGCGAACCGGGGGAACUGAAACAUCUAAGUACCCCGAGGAAAAGAAAUCAACCGAGAUUCCCCCAGUAGCGGCGAGCGAACGGGGAGCAGCCCAGAGUCUGAAUCAGCUUGUGUGUUAGUGGAACGGUCUGGAAAGUCCGACGGUACAGGGUGAUAGUCCCGUACACCAAAAUGCACAGGUUGUGAACUCGAAGAGUAGGGCGGGACACGUGGUAUCCUGUCUGAAUAUGGGGGGACCAUCCUCCAAGGCUAAAUACUCCUGACUGACCGAUAGUGAACCAGUACCGUGAGGGAAAGGCGAAAAGAACCCCGGCGAGGGGAGUGAAAAAGAACCUGAAACCGUGUACGUACAAGCAGUGGGAGCACCUUCGGGUGUGACUGCGUACCUUUUGUAUAAUGGGUCAGCGACUUAUAUUCUGUAGCAAGGUUAACCGUAUAGGGGAGCCGCAGGGAAACCGAGUCUUAACUGGGCGUUAAGUUGCAGGGUAUAGACCCGAAACCCGGUGAUCUAGCCAUGGGCAGGUUGAAGGUUGGGUAACACUAACUGGAGGACCGAACCGACUAAUGUUGAAAAAUUAGCGGAUGACUUGUGGCUGGGGGUGAAAGGCCAAUCAAACCGGGAGAUAGCUGGUUCUCCCCGAAAGCUAUUUAGGUAGCGCCUCGUGAAUUCAUCUUCGGGGGUAGAGCACUGUUUCGGCUAGGGGGUCAUCCCGACUUACCAACCCGAUGCAAACUACGAAUACCGAAGAAUGUUAUCACGGGAGACACACGGCGGGUGCUAACGUCCGUCGUGAAGAGGGAAACAACCCAGACCGCCAGCUAAGGUCCCAAAGUCAUGGUUAAGUGGGAAACGAUGUGGGAAGGCACAGACAGCCAGGAUGUUGGCUUAGAAGCAGCCAUCAUUUAAAGAAAGCGUAAUAGCUCACUGGUCGAGUCGGCCUGCGCGGAAGAUGUAACGGGGCUAAACCAUGCACCGAAGCUGCGGCAGCGACACUAUGUGUUGUUGGGUAGGGGAGCGUUCUGUAAGCCUGCGAAGGUG
rnacentral:rRNA from 1 species